rnacentral:rRNA from 1 species
UACGGGGGGGGGCAAGCGUUGUCCGGACUUACUGGGCGUAAAGCGCGCGCAGGCGGAUGGGUAUGUGCCGUGUGAAAGCGCCGUCCUUACGAUGGCGAGGUCAUGGUAGACAGCCCGUCUGGAGGCUCGAAGAGGUCGGUGGAAUUCCGGGUGGAGCGGUGAAAUGCGUAGAUAUCCGGAGGAACACCAGGGGCGAAAGCGGCCGACUGGUCGAGUACUGACGCUGAGGCGCGGACGGCGUGGGGAGCAAACCGG